rnacentral:rRNA from 1 species
GACGAACGCUGGCGGCGUGCUUAACACAUGCAAGUCGAACGGAAAGGCCCUGCUUUUGUGGGGUGCUCGAGUGGCGAACGGGUGAGUAACACGUGAGUAACCUGCCCUUGACUUUGGGAUAACUUCAGGAAACUGGGGCUAAUACCGGAUAGGAGCUCCUGCUGCAUGGUGGGGGUUGGAAAGUUUCGGCGGUUGGGGAUGGACUCGCGGCUUAUCAGCUUGUUGGUGGGGUAGUGGCUUACCAAGGCUUUGACGGGUAGCCGGCCUGAGAGGGUGGCCGGCCACAUUGGGACUGAGAUACGGCCCAGACUCCUACGGGAGGCAGCAGUGGGGAAUAUUGCACAAUGGGCGGAAGCCUGAUGCAGCAACGCCGCGUGCGGGAUGACGGCCUUCGGGUUGUAAACCGCUUUCGCCUGUGACGAAGCGUGAGGGACGGUAAUGGGUAAAGAAGCACCGGCUAACUACGU